GUCCAGCCGCGGUAAUACGGAGGGGGUUAGCGUUGUUCGGAAUUACUGGGCGUAAAGCGCGCGUAGGCGGAUUGGAAAGUUGGGGGUGAAAUCCCAGGGCUCAACCCUGGAACGGCCUCCAAAACUCCCAGUCUUGAGUUCGAGAGAGGUGAGUGGAACUCCGAGUGUAGAGGUGAAAUUCGUAGAUAUUCGGAAGAACACCAGUGGCGAAGGCGGCUCACUGGCUCGAUACUGACGCUGAGGUGCGAAAGUGUGGGGAGCAAACAGGAUUAGAUACCCCUGUAGUCC
rnacentral:rRNA from 1 species